rnacentral:lncRNA from 1 species
AUUGACAGAAUACGAUAAAGUUGUCUUCAUUGAUGCUGACAUCGUCGUCUUACUCAAUCUCGACAUUCUCUUCCACUUCCCUCAGAUGUCGGCCACCGGAAAUGAUGUCUGGAUAUUCAACUCCGGCGUAAUGGUCAUUGAGCCUUCUAAUUGUACGUUUAAUACGAUUAUGAGCCAACGAAGCGACAUCGUUUCAUAUAACGGUGGAGAUCAAGGGUAAGUAAUUUAUGUUUUAUUUAUUUCAUAGCCAAUUUAGUCUAGAUAGAUCAUUACUAUAGUGCAUAACAGAGUAUAAAAGAGCGGAUCGGCUAAACCAGACCGGUUAUCUAAUAUCAGUUUAAUGUCAUGUUUAAGUGUAACACCAAAAGUGGUUUACUACAGCCAAAGUACCACAUAACACUAAAUUGAUGUGAGAUAACCGGACCGGUUUAGUCGAUCCAUUGAUGAUAACACUACUACUAACACUCUACAUUAAACCAUAACAAGAAUAAUUAAUUGAUGUUUUUGUUAAUCAGGUACCUAAACGAGAUAUUCGUGUGGUGGCAUCGAUUGCCUCGGCGAAUAAACUUUCUGAAGAACUUUUGGUCGAACACAACCAACGAAAGAAACAUCAAGAACAACCUCUUCGCAGCCGAGCCGCCUCAGCUCU